rnacentral:rRNA from 1 species
GACCCGUCUUGAAACACGGACCAAGGAGUCUAACAUGUGCGCAAGUCAUUGGGUUUUACGAAACCUAANGGCGAAAUGAAAGUGAAAGCUGCCCUAGGCAGCCUANGUGUGAUCCAAUUCAUUUUGGCGCAACACCGUCCGGUCAUGAUUGCAUCGCAAUAUGGCUGAGAAAGAGCGUACACGUUGGGACCCGAAAGAUGGUGAACUAUGCCUGAGCAGGAUGAAGCCAUAGGAAACUCUGGUGGAGGUCCGUCUCGGUUCUGACGUGCAAAUCAAUCGUCAAACUUGGGUAUAGGGGCAAAAGACUAAUCGAACCAUCUAGUUGCUGGUUCCCUCCAAAGUUUCCCUCAGGAUAUCUGGCACUCAUUACGCAGUUUUAUCCAGUAAAGCGAAUGAUUAGAGGACUUGGGUACUAACCGACCUCAACCUAUUCUCAAACUUUAAAUGGGUAAGAAGUCUGUACCCGCUUAAUUGGGGUCGGGCUACGAAUGCGAGUGCCCAGUGGGCCACUUUUGGUAAGCAGAACUGGCGCUGUGGGAUGAACCAAACGCUGAGUUAAGGUGCCCAAAGCGGUCGCUCAUCAGAUACCAUAAAAGGUGUUGGUUGAUAUAGACAGCAGGACGGUGGCCAUGGAAGUCGGAAUCCGCUAAGGAGUGUGU